GGUUAAGCGACUAAGCGUACACGGUGGAUGCCCUGGCAGUCAGAGGCGAUGAAGGACGUGCUAAUCUGCGAAAAGCGUCGGUAAGGUGAUAUGAACCGUUAUAACCGGCGAUGUCCGAAUGGGGAAACCCAGUGUGAUUCGUCACACUAUCGUUAACUGAAUACAUAGGUUAACGAGGCGAACCGGGGGAACUGAAACAUCUAAGUACCCCGAGGAAAAGAAAUCAACCGAGAUUCCCCCAGUAGCGGCGAGCGAACGGGGAGCAGCCCAGAGUCUGAAUCAGCUUGUGUGUUAGUGGAACGGUCUGGAAAGUCCGACGGUACAGGGUGAUAGUCCCGUACACCAAAAUGCACAGGCUGUGAACUCGAAGAGUAGGGCGGGACACGUGGUAUCCUGUCUGAAUAUGGGGGGACCAUCCUCCAAGGCUAAAUACUCCUGACUGACCGAUAGUGAACCAGUACCGUGAGGGAAAGGCGAAAAGAACCCCGGCGAGGGGAGUGAAAAAGAACCUGAAACCGUGUACGUACAAGCAGUGGGAGCACCUUCGGGUGUGACUGCGUACCUUUUGUAUAAUGGGUCAGCGACUUAUAUUCUGUAGCAAGGUUAACCGUAUAGGGGAGCCGCAGGGAAACCGAGUCUUAACUGGGCGUUAAGUUGCAGGGUAUAGACCCGAAACCCGGUGAUCUAGCCAUGGGCAGGUUGAAGGUUGGGUAACACUAACUGGAGGACCGAACCGACUAAUGUUGAAAAAUUAGCGGAUGACUUGUGGCUGGGGGUGAAAGGCCAAUCAAACCGGGAGAUAGCUGGUUCUCCCCGAAAGCUAUUUAGGUAGCGCCUCGUGAAUUCAUCUUCGGGGGUAGAGCACUGUUUCGGCUAGGGGGUCAUCCCGACUUACCAACCCGAUGCAAACUACGAAUACCGAAGAAUGUUAUCACGGGAGACACACGGCGGGUGCUAACGUCCGUCGUGAAGAGGGAAACAACCCAGACCGCCAGCUAAGGUCCCAAAGUCAUGGUUAAGUGGGAAACGAUGUGGGAAGGCACAGACAGCCAGGAUGUUGGCUUAGAAGCAGCCAUCAUUUAAAGAAAGCGUAAUAGCUCACUGGUCGAGUCGGCCUGCGCGGAAGAUGUAACGGGGCUAAACCAUGCACCGAAGCUGCGGCAGCGACACUAUGUGUUGUUGGGUAGGGGAGCGUUCUGUAAGCCUGCGAAGGUGACCUGUGAGGGUUGCUGGAGGUAUCAGAAGUGCGAAUGCUGACAUAAGUAACGAUAAAGCGGGUGAAAAGCCCGCUCGCCGGAAGACCAAGGGUUCCUGUCCAACGUUAAUCGGGGCAGGGUGAGUCGACCCCUAAGGCGAGGCCGAAAGGCGUAGUCGAUGGGAAACAGGUUAAUAUUCCUGUACUUGGUGUUACUGCGAAGGGGGGACGGAGAAGGCUAUGUUAGCCGGGCGACGGUUGUCCCGGUUUAAGCAUGUAGGCUG
rnacentral:rRNA from 1 species